GUUGACCUCGGAUCAGUAGGAAU
rnacentral:rRNA from 1 species